GACGAACGCUGGCGGCGCGCCUAACACAUGCAAGUCGAACGAGCGAAAGAGAGCUUGCUUUCUUGAGCGAGUGGCGAACGGGUGAGUAACGCGUGAGGAACCUGCCUCAAAGAGGGGGACAACAGUUGGAAACGACUGCUAAUACCGCAUAAGCCCACGACCCGGCAUCGGGUUGAGGGAAAAGGAGCAAUCCGCUUUGAGAUGGCCUCGCGUCCGAUUAGCUAGUUGGUGAGGUAACGGCCCACCAAGGCAACGAUCGGUAGCCGGACUGAGAGGUUGAACGGCCACAUUGGGACUGAGACACGGCCCAGACUCCUACGGGAGGCAGCAGUGGGGAAUAUUGCACAAUGGGGGAAACCCUGAUGCAGCGACGCCGCGUGGAGGAAGAAGGUCUUCGGAUUGUAAACUCCUGUUGUUGAGGAAGAUAAUGACGGUACUCAACAAGGAAGUGACGGCUAACUACGUGCCAGCAGCCGCGGUAAAACGUAGGUCACAAGCGUUGUCCGGAAUUACUGGGUGUAAAGGGAGCGCAGGCGGGAAGACGAGUUGGAAGUGAAAUCUAUGGGCUCAACCCAUAAACUGCUUUCAAAACUGUUUUUCUUGAGUAGUGCAGAGGUAGGCGGAAUUCCCGGUGUAGCGGUGGAAUGCGUAGAUAUCGGGAGGAACACCAGUGGCGAAGGCGGCCUACUGGGCACCAACUGACGCUGAGGCUCGAAGGUGUGGGUAGCAAACAGG
rnacentral:rRNA from 1 species